GGCAGCAUGGAAGUUUGCUUGCAACUUCCGAUGGCGACCGGCGCACGGGUGAGUAACACGUAUCCAACCUGCCGAUAACUCGGGGAUAGCCUUUCGAAAGAAAGAUUAAUAUCCGAUAGCAUAUCAAGGUCGCAUGAUCUUGAUAUUAAAGAAUUUCGGUUAUCGAUGGGGAUGCGUUCCAUUAGUUAGUUGGCGGGGUAACGGCCCACCAAGACGACGAUGGAUAGGGGUUCUGAGAGGAAGGUCCCCCACAUUGGAACUGAGACACGGUCCAAACUCCUACGGGAGGCAGCAGUGAGGAAUAUUGGUCAAUGGACGAGAGUCUGAACCAGCCAAGUAGCGUGAAGGAUGACUGCCCUAUGGGUUGUAAACUUCUUUUAUAUGGGAAUAAAACAGGGUAUGCAUACCCUCUUGUAUGUACCAUAUGAAUAAGGAUCGGCUAACUCCGUGCCAGCAGCCGCGGUAAUACGGAGGAUGCGAGCGUUAUCCGGAUUUAUUGGGUUUAAAGGGUGCGCAGGCGGACUGUUAAGUCAGCGGUAAAAUGUCGGUGCUCAACACCGGCCGGCCGUUGAAACUGGCAGCCUUGAGUGAGCGAGAAGUAUGCGGAAUGCGUGGUGUAGCGGUGAAAUGCAUAGAUAUCACGCAGAACUCCGAUUGCGAAGGCAGCAUACCGGCGCUCAACUGACGCUCAGGCACGAAAGCGUGGGUAUCGAACAGGCUUAGAUACCCUGGUAGUCCACGCAGUAAACGAUGAAUGCUCACUGUCCGGGCCGUUUAAGGCCUGGGUGGUCAAGCGAAAGCGUUAAGCAUUC
rnacentral:rRNA from 1 species